rnacentral:tRNA from 1 species
GGUUUAAUAGCUCAGUUGGUAGAGCAACGGACUGAAAAUCCGUGUGUCAGUAGUUCAAUUUUACUUUAAACCA